UACGUAGGGUGCGAGCGUUAAUCGGAAUUACUGGGCGUAAAGCGUGCGCAGGCGGUUUUGUAAGUCAGAUGUGAAAUCCCCGGGCUUAACCUGGGAACUGUGUUUGAAACUACAAGGCUAGAGUGUGGCAGAGGGGGGUGGAAUUCCACGUGUAGCAGUGAAAUGCGUAGAGAUGUGGAGGAACACCGAUGGCGAAGGCAGCCCCCUGGGUUAACACUGACGCUCAGGCACGAAAGCGUGGGGAGCAAACAGG
rnacentral:rRNA from 1 species